GAAUUAUUGAUGAGAAAAAAAAUAGUUAGAAUUUGAAUUCGAAUCUGACUAACAAUCACAAAACUUAUUUCCAAACUCGACGGAUUUCAAAAAUCCAUAUCCAAAUUCAAAACUGACCAAUUUUUCGAAACCCAAAACCAAACAUAAACCAGAAGACUAGAAUUCAAACAAUUAUUUCUGUUUACCAUAUUUCAAAGUAUUUAUAUGAAACUUAAAUUUUUAAAAUAUAAAUUUGAAUAUAAUAUUAAAUUUUAAAUUUAAAAGUGAAAUUUAAAUUAGAGAAAUUUCAUAUUAUUAUUUAAAGUUUAAAUUAAAUGUUCAUAUUGUCAAAUCAUUUGAAAAUUUUCUUAUAUGAAAUGCCAAAUUAUGAAAGGAAAGAUAGAGAGAGAAAAAGGAAACAAAGAAAAAAUAAAAUUUUUGAAAAUAUAGUAGAUGUAAAAUGACUAAAUUGCCUAUGUAUUAAAAGACAAAAAUACCCUUUUUUGAGGUACCUAGUAAUCUGUACCUCUCCCAAAGUGACCUGCUAUUGCAGGUCACAAUUUUAAAAAAACUAAAUCUGAGCCGUUGAAUACGCGUGAAUAAACGGUAACAAAAAAAAAAAAGUAUAGAAGCAUUACUCUAUAUAUAUAUAUAGUCCAGCUGAGAUACUAUCUAUAACACCAAGAGUUUAAUGCUAUCGAGUUUUUCACCAUUAAAUUUAACUCUUUGAUUAUUUUUAUCCAUUAGAUUAUACUAUUCGACCAACCACCCACUCAACCCUAAGAUGCUCACAUCAUCCUAACCGUAUAUUUCUCAAUCCAAGAGCUAAAGAGUUAAUAGCUCUAAUAGCUUGGUACUAUUGAUAGUAUUCCAGCCUAUAUAUAUAUAUAUAUAUAUAUAUAUAUAUAUAUAUAUAUAUAU
rnacentral:lncRNA from 1 species